rnacentral:rRNA from 1 species
ACUCCUACGGGAGGCAGCAGUGGGGAAUAUUGCACAAUGGGCGCAAGCCUGAUGCAGCAACGCCGCGUGAGCGAUGAAGGCCUUCGGGUCGUAAAGCUCUGUCCUCAAGGAAGAAUAAAUGACGGUACUUGAGGAGGAACGCCCCGGCUAACUACGUGCCAGCAGCCGCGGUAAUACGUAGGGGCAAGCGUUAUCCGGAAUCACUGGGCGUAAAGGGUGCGUAGGCGGUUUUUCAAGUCAGAAGUGAAAGGCUAUGGCUCAACCAUAGUAAGCUUUUGAAACUGUUAAACUUGAGUGCAGGAGAGGAAAGUGGAAUUCCUAGUGUAGAGGUGAAAUUCGUAGAUAUUAGGAGGAACACCAGUGGCGAAGGCGACUUUCUGGACUGUAACUGACGCUGAGGCACGAAAGCGUGGGAGCGAACAGGAUUAGAUACCCUGGUAGACUGUCA